rnacentral:rRNA from 1 species
AUGUCGGAUGAGGAGAAAUGCAUGACCAGAACAUUGAAAAGGACCAACCUGGAAACACGACACAUAGUUUCUGUCCUUGCAUAUCUUCGAGGAGGUUUAGCACAACUAUCUUACACAAAGAAGCAUGUCACAAACUAUGCAUCAACAAUAAAUAGAGAGGUGUCGAACACUGACAUGAUGGAGGUCGUGCAUAUGUUUAACAAAAAACAAGUUGAACCCCCUGGUUUCUACUACUCAUUUGAGCUGUAUGAGGAGAACAAGUGGCCAAAACAGACGAGAUGCCCUCCCUACCUCUAUACAACAACACGCGGCAAGAGAAGGAGCAGAUACAACCCCAUCUCCACGAGGAACAACACAAGGGAAUUACAGGAACAAAACCCUCCCUACCUGAACGAACGACGACGAACUAGACAGCCAAGAAGUGUGAAUGGGGGUACUCCAUGCAAGGACGACGACGACGACGGCCUCUCCUUCCCCUCCUACGGCAUGAGGAAGAAGAGGAAAAGCUCCCGCCGCAUCGCCAUCGUCUCGCCUCUGCGAAUGAUGCUUCUCCAAAGAUACUUAUACCCAAGCAUAUCCAUCUCCAUCUCCAUGCCCUUUCCAAGAUUUGGGAAUAUUAGUCAUCGAUUCUGUGAGUGUGUUGCCAUCAGUGCCACGGCUUUUCUCCUCUCUCUUUAUGCCGCGUGCCCAUACUAUACAGUCACGCAUGCAUAA